GCAUAUUUAUAAUAUUUCAGAUGAUAAAAACAUUUGCCAUCAAGAUGCACAGGCAGAAAUAUUAGUCCACAGUUAUAAAAGACCUAAGAAAAACAUUGAAAUGAAAGACACUUCAUCAACAUUUACAAUUAAAGAGAAGAGGCUUUGGCGACAGUUACAAAAUGCAAAAAAAACAAUAAGGAAUAUAGCGAAGUCAAGAGUGAAUUUAGACAAGUUAGAUUCGGAAGUGCUGACAUCGUUAGUAAAGGAUGUAGUGCAGAAUAACAAAAAAAAGUCACAAGGAAAAAGGUGGACUUUAGCCAACAAAAUAUAUGCUUUGGCUAUAUUUAAACGGUCCCCUAAAGCAUACCGCUAUAUGCAAAAGCUGUUUACGCUACCAAGCACUAAAACGCUCCAAAGGAUUUUAAAAAAUAUACCAAUGGAGCCUGGUAUAAAUAAAAAUAUAAUUGAUAUGUUAGAGGCAAAAGCAUCAAGUAUGCCAAAGGAAAAUAAAUAUUGCUCGUUAAUAUUUGACGAGAUGGCGUUAAAGAAACGGAUAAUUUAUAACGAAAUUGCUGAUAAAGUGGAUGGCUACGUGGAUUAUGGAGAGGGCGAGAACAUGGGACGAGAAAAGAAAAUUGCAGACCAUGCGUUAGUGUUUAUGAUACAGGGUGCUAAACAUAAAUACAAACAAUAUAUUGCGCACUAUUUUGUGGAAGGCACAAUAUCAACAGCAAAACUGGCAAAAAUUAUAUCGGACAUCAUCAAAAAAUUAAAAGAAAUCGGAUUUAUGGUUCUAACAACAGUUUGUGAUCAGGGAUCUACAAAUAUAGGAGCUCUUAACAUGUUAAAAAGAAACUGUGGACAAGGCAUAGAUAGCAACUUUUUCUCUGUAAAUAAUGACAAAAUUUUUAUAAUCUAUGACAUCCCUCACUUGUUCAAAUCAUUACGAAACAAUUUCUUUAAAAGUGGAAAUAUGUCUUUCGAUGGAAAAAUUGCACAAUGGAGGCAUUUGGUAGUUGCAGAAGAACACAACAGAAAUUUUUUAAAUUUUAAAAAACUGAAUAGUACCAUUGUAAAUCCAACAUUCAAAACUAAGAUGAGGGUGAAGUAUGCUGCGCAUGCUCUGAGUAAUACCGUGGCAGCUAUUUUAAAAAUGAUGGCAUGGAAAGAAGUUUCUGAUUGCAAUGAUACAGCAUUUGUGAUUGAACAGUUAGAUAAACUAUUUGAUUGUACAAAUGGUCCAUCAUCUUUAAAUGACGUAAAGAAAGGGAUCCGGGAAAAUGUUUCCACAUCAAGUAAUCACAUUGAGUCUUGGACCUUUUAUACUGAUAAGUUAAAAACCAUAAAAUUUAUAACAGCAGAAAACACGAUACUAAAAAAUGUUAAAUGCGUAAAGGGAUAUCAAAUAUCUAUCAAAUCCUUAAACGAUAUUUGGGAAAAGUUAAAGAAUGAAGGGUUUAAAUAUAUGAACCUUAGACAGUUUAACCAAGACUCUCUGGAAAACUUAUUUGGAAUCAUUAGGCAACACAGUGUAACCAAUAGAAAUCCCACUAUCACGCACUUUACUGCAGCGCUUAAAACAAGCAUGGUUACUGGGCUGAAAGUGCCUCAUAGCAGAAGUGCUAAUUGUGAAGCAGACAACAAUAAACAUAUGCUGGAAUAUAAAGACAUUUUAAAAACUAAUUUAAAAACAACAGAAAUAAAAAUUAAUGUUCAAGAUUCCACAGACACUGAAUUUUAUCCUGUGUUGUCUAUCCCGGACCCUGAAAACUUAGAACAGCCCAUUGAAAAUUUGUGUAGCCUUGAAAACCAACCAGUAGUAUAUGUAAGCGGGUAUUUAGCUGCCAAACUAUUACAGAACAGUUCUUGUUUAAUUUGUGAAGAGUGUUUGAGCGUGAAAACUCCUGUUGACAAUGAUUUGUAUGCAUAUAUAUCUCUUCGCGAAUGGUGGCAUGAUAAAAAAAGUCUCGUUUAUCCAACAAUUCAAUUAUGUACCACCGUAAAUGAAGCUAAACAAUUUUAUCAUGACCAUAUUGCCGACCAGAUAUAUAUGGAAAAUGUUGGAAAAUUCAUUUUCUUAAUGUUGAGUACAAAUUGUAAUUUUAGUUGGUUUAAAUGUCAACAACAUAAUAAAGAAAUUUAUGAUAA